rnacentral:lncRNA from 1 species
GUUCUGCGGAGAUUUUUAUUGAGGUGAUAUUUGCAGCCAGCCCUGAGAACCUGAUCAAUAGAAUCAACCCUUAAAGGCCACUCAAAGUCAGCUGGUCAUUGCCUAUAGUGCCAGGCACUGGGGGGAUCCAGUACCUACUCAGGACCACUACCUGGGAACAUGCAGUAUUAGGUCAGACUGCCAGAGGAAGAUUCGAGAUAAUAUGAAGAGGCAUCAGCUUUUGUUCUGAUACCAUCAACAAUGAUCCAGAUGAAAAGGAAUGUGGUUCAACCUCCAUAUUUCUCAUAAAGAGAAAACUGAGGUCCAGAGAAGUGAAAUGGCUUAUCCAGAGGCAGUCAGGAGCCUUGUUUGCUGCAUGUGUGCCAGAACCUCGGAGCAGGAAACAUGCCAUCAGAAUGAAUGUGUCUGCCUGGCAAAGGCAGGGCAGAGCGGAAUCGAUUACAGAGAGGAAGGCGGGCAGUUGAAUGGGAUGCUGCCUAAAGAGAACCCAGCAGAUCCGUUCACUCUGCGAGCCAGUCUUGACCUUCUGCGCCUUAGGACCAUCUCCCUAGGACCACCAGCAUGAAGUUCAUGUGUCAAGAAGAAGUCGUCUGUGUUCUCCAAAAGCAACUUCAUCACCAGUUUUGAAAUAAUUCAAAAACAUUUGCUCUCUUCAGAUCAGCUUCCUUCAAGCCAAUGUUUAUUUAAUUCAUAUGUCUGAAGUUUUCUGGCUCUUGAAAGUCAACAUUCUUGGUCUCCUCCCCUGUCCCAGCAUGUUUAAGUUGAGAUGGUGUUCUUUCUUGUUUCCUUAAGAGCUCUUGCCAAGUCACUGGGCAUGUCUCUCUUGUUCAUCUUCUGAAAAUCUUCAAUAAAUACAUGUCCUGAUUCUCCCA